rnacentral:rRNA from 1 species
UCAAUAGUCUUUUAAUUGAAGGCUUGAAUGAACGGUCGGACAUAGAGAAGUCUGUCUUCGGUUGAUUAGGGUGAAUUUAACUUUUGUGUGAAAAGGCAUUAAUAUUUUAAGGGGACGAUAAGACCCUAUAAAACUUGAUGAUUAGGUCGAUCUUUGUGAUUUAAGUAUAAUAUGAGGUUUGACUGGGUUCAUUGUGCUGGGGCGGUAGGAAUAUAAUCGGUAACUGUUCUUAGGUAUAAAAUAGUUUUAAUUAGAAAAUGACCCUGAGAUUUUGGGUUAUAAGAUUAAGUUACUUUAGGGAUAACAGCGUUAUUUCUCUUGAGAGUUCAUAUCGACAGGGACAUUUGCGACCUCGAUGUUGAAUUAAAGUUUUCUCCGGGAGUAGAAGUUCGGAUGAGUAGGUCUGUUCGACCU